rnacentral:tRNA from 1 species
CGGGCGGUGGACGACGGCAACGCGGCGGUCUCCAAGGCCGAGUCGGUGCGCAAGUUCCGUAUCCUGCCCGCCCAG